CGUGGGGGAGGGGCAGGU
rnacentral:misc_RNA from 1 species